rnacentral:RNase_P_RNA from 1 species
UAAUCGAACACGAUAAUCGCCUCAAUUUAUUGGGGAGGAAAGUCCGGACACGCCCAUAUUUAUUUAUGGAGCAAGGUAGUGGGUAAUACCCAUCCGCAGUAAUGCGCGAGGUGCGAGCAGAGACGUCCAAAGCGAAAGCAGAGGAGUUCCUUCGGGAAUAGUCACUUGGGAGACCAAGUGGGUGAAACGGCUAAAUCCUUACUGGCGUGCAAGGCCGUGCCUCGCCUCCUUAGCUACUGAUGUUUUGAAUUGGCAGCUAAGGAGGCGAGGAGUGCCGCAAGAGGUGAGUAGUAAUACUCAUCCUAGGUAAAUGAUUAUCCGAAAGUAAUUUCGACAGAAUCCGGCUUAUGUGUACAAAAACACC